CCUACGGGUGGCAGCAGUUUCGAAUCAUUCACAAUGGGCGAAAGCCUGAUGGUGCGACGCCGCGUGAGGGAUGAAGGUCUUCGGAUUGUAAACCUCUGUCACUGGGGAAGAAACGCUUUAAGCCAACAACUUAAAGCCUGACUUAACCCGGAGAGGAAGCAGUGGCUAACUCUGUGCCAGCAGCCGCGGUAAUACAGAGACUGCAAGCGUUAUUCGGAUUCACUGGGCGUAAAGGGUGCGCAGGCGGCAAUGUGUGUGAGGCGUGAAAGCCCGGGGCUUAACCUCGGAAUUGCGCCUCAAACUACAAUGCUAGAGCAUUGGAGAGGGUAGCAGAAUUCACGGUGUAGCAGUGAAAUGCGUAGAUAUCGUGAGGAAUACCAGAGGCGAAGGCGGCUACCUGGACAAUUGCUGACGCUCAGGCACGAAAGCGUGGGGAGCAAAAGGGAUUAGAUACCCCAGUAGUC
rnacentral:rRNA from 1 species